rnacentral:rRNA from 1 species
UACGUAGGUGGCAAGCGUUGUCCGGAAUUAUUGGGCGUAAAGCGCGCGCAGGCGGUUUCUUAAGUCUGAUGUGAAAUCUCGCGGCUCAACCGUGAGCGGUCAUUGGAAACUGGGAAACUUGAGUGCAGAAGAGAAGAGCGGAAUUCCACGUGUAGCGGUGAAAUGCGUAGAGAUGUGGAGGAACACCAGUGGCGAAGGCGGCUCUUUGGUCUGUAACUGACGCUGAGGCGCGAAAGUGUGGGGAGCGAACAGG